rnacentral:rRNA from 1 species
GACGAACGCUGGCGGCGUGCUUAACACAUGCAAGUCGAACGAGUGGCGGACGGGUGAGUAAUGUCUGGGAAACUGCCCGAUGGAGGGGGAUAACUACUGGAAACGGUAGCUAAUACCGCAUACCAUCGGAUGUGCCCAGAUGGGAUUAGCUAGUAGGUGGGGUAACGUCUCACCUAGGCGCCGAUCCCUAGCUGGUCUGAGAGGAUGACCAGCCACACUGGAACUUGGACACGCUCCAGACUCCUAGGGGAGGACGCAGUGGGGAAUAUUGCACAAUGGGCGCAAGCCUGAUGCAGCCAUGCCGCGUGUAUGAAGAAGGCCUUCGGGUUGUAAAGUACUUUCAGCGAGGAGGCGUUACUCGCAGAAGAAGCACCGGCUAACUCCGUGCCAGCAGCCGCGGUAAUAC